GGAUGAACGCUGGCGGCGUGCCUAAUACAUGCAAGUCGAGCGAACGGACGAGAAGCUUGCUUCUCUGAUGUUGGCGGCGGACGGGUGAGUAACACGUGGAUAACCUACCUAUAAGACUGGGAUAACUUCGGGAAACCGGAGCUAAUACCGGAUAAUAUUUUGAACCGCAUGGUUCAAAAGUGAAAGACGGUCUUGCUGUCACUUAUAGAUGGAUCCGCGCUGCAUUAGCUAGUUGGUAAGGUAACGGCUUACCAAGGCAACGAUGCAUAGCCGACCUGAGAGGGUGAUCGGCCACACUGGAACUGAGACACGGUCCAGACUCCUACGGGAGGCAGCAGUAGGGAAUCUUCCGCAAUGGGCGAAAGCCUGACGGAGCAACGCCGCGUGAGUGAUGAAGGUCUUCGGAUCGUAAAACUCUGUUAUUAGGGAAGAACAUAUGUGUAAGUAACUGUGCACAUCUUGACGGUACCUAAUCAGAAAGCCACGGCUAACUACGUG
rnacentral:rRNA from 1 species